rnacentral:rRNA from 1 species
UACGUAGGGGGCAAGCGUUGUCCGGAAUCAUUGGGCGUAAAGCGCGCGCAGGCGGCAUGGCAAGUAAGGUGUGAAAUCCAUCUGCUCAACGGGUGGGGUGCACUUUAGACUGCCAAGCUAGAGGUCGGUAGAGGGGGGUGGAAUUGCUGGUGUAGCGGUGAAAUGCGUAGAGAUCAGCAGGAACACCCGUGGCGAAGGCGGCCCCCUGGGCCGUACCUGACGCUGAGGCGCGAAGGCUAGGGGAGCAAACGGG